rnacentral:rRNA from 1 species
GAUACCCUGGUAGUCCACGCCCUAAACGAUGUCAACUAGUUGUUGGGGAUUCAUUUCCUUAGUAACGUAGCUAACGCGUGAAGUUGACCGCCUGGGGAGUACGGUCGCAAGAUUAAAACUCAAAGGAAUUGACGGGGACCCGCACAAGCGGUGGAUGAUGUGGAUUAAUUCGAUGCAACGCGAAAAACCUUACCUACCCUUGACAUGGUCGGAAUCCUGCUGAGAGGCGGGAGUGCUCGAAAGAGAACCGGCGCACAGGUGCUGCAUGGCUGUCGUCAGCUCGUGUCGUGAGAUGUUGGGUUAAGUCCCGCAACGAGCGCAACCCUUGUCCUUAGUUGCUACGCAAGAGCACUCUAAGGAGACUGCCGGUGACAAACCGGAGGAAGGUGGGGAUGACGUCAAGUCCUCAUGGCCCUUAUGGGUAGGGCUUCACACGUCAUACAAUGGUCGGAACAGAGGGUUGCCAACCCGCGAGGGGGAGCUAAUCCCAGAAAACCGAUCGUAGUCCGGAUUGCACUCUGCAACUCGAGUGCAUGAAGCUGGAAUCGCUAGUAAUCGCGGAUCAGCAUGCCCCGGUGAAUACGUUCCCGGGUCUUGUACACACCGCCCGUCACACCAUGGGAGUGGGUUUUACCAGAAGUGGCUAGUCUAACCGCAAGGAGGACGGUCACCACGGUAGGAUUCAUGACUGGGGUGAAGUCGUAACAAGGUAGCAAGGGC